rnacentral:tRNA from 1 species
UUCCCUGUGGCUCAGUUGGUAGAGCAUGGUGUGUGCAACACCAGGGUUGUGGGUUUGAUUCCCACGGGGGGGG